AGGAGGAUUAACCCAAAACCAAAGACUGCUUGAGCCCACUGCAUUAGAAAGCAUGAGUUGCUUUAGCAAACUCCCUGAAGCUCCCGCAUCAUUGCAUCUCAAGGUUCUUCAUUCGUGCACUGGUGGAAGAAGCAGUAUCCUCUGAAAAUAGGAAUCCACAUUGUUGCCCGAGUUUUUUUAUUUCACCUACUGUCAGCGAGUUGAUGAAGAGCAUGUCCUCCUCACAUAGAUUCUCCUCACAAACACCCAGCGAUUUAAGUU
rnacentral:lncRNA from 1 species